UUGUUCAUACAUGUUUUGAAUAAUAUUACUUCGGAAAUUUAUUACCAAAUAAAAUAUUUCAAUAAAAAAUGAAAAUAUGAAAUGCAAUGUUUAAAUGAAUAAAGCGUUUAAUAAGUGACACAAAGUGAGUUUGUAGAGUGCUUGAAGAUAUCAGUUGCGAAGUGCCCUAGCCUAUUGGUUCCAGACGACGACAAAUCGACGAACAGUCACUUUUCGAGCGGCUUGAUCAUUUGGCGUUGCGUAGAGAUUUGGGAUCUCUCUGCAUCUUCUGCCGCAUUAACCAAGGAGAGUGCCUACGCCAAAACGCGCAACUUCAACAGGGAAGAUGGUGAAAAACAAAAGCCAGGUAAAAGAAAAUUGAAAAAUCCUUGGAUAUUGCAAAUACCAAUUUCACAAUAACAGUUGGAGUUAAUAUCAAUAACAUUUAUUACGCAAUAAGUGCAUAAUUUUGUUUCAAACACAUUUGUUUCAUUAAGUUAAUAAUUAUAAAAUAAUGUUUUCUGUCUAUCUAAAUGGAAUAUAAUUCACGUUUAUGUUAAAAACGUUUAAUUAAUAAUAGAUUAUGUAUUCUAUACCAAUAAAUUUUUUGUGUGAAGUA